GUGGGUGUAGCUCAGCCGGAUAGAGCGCCAGGUUGUGGCCCUGGAGGCCGAGGGUUCGAACCCCUUCACUCACCCCA
rnacentral:tRNA from 1 species